rnacentral:lncRNA from 1 species
AUUAAAACACAGGCAGAAUUUAAAACAUGAUGAGUGUAUUUCCUGUGAAAAUGGGGCAUGUGACAAUUUAACAUCACCAAUAGUGGGUCAAGUUGGUAUCACCUACUUUUUGAUGUACAUGCACUAAGAAAGAUACAACACCACCUAUGUAGCACUUAUAAUCACAAGUUUUAACCUGAAUCAUGAGAAAGUAACCAGGGAAAUCCAAAUUGAAUGACAUCUUGAAAAAGAAUUAGUCUGGACUCUUUAAAAAUGCCAUUAUUGGGGCUGAGGUUGUAGCUCAGUGGUAGAGCACUUGCCUAGCAUGUGUGAGGUACUGGAUUUGGUCCUCAGCACCACAUUAAAAAAUAAAUAAAAUAAAGGUGUUGUAUCCAUCUACAACUAAAAAAUAUUUUUAAAUGCCAUUAUUAGGAUAGAUAAUGAUCAAUUUAGCUGUCUGACAGAAUAGAAGAUCAUUCUGUAGAGAAACAGCACCAUAAGAAUUUGUAUAACAUAUCACUUAUGCUCAGUGUUAAAAAAUAAUAAUUAGAUAUGCAAAGAAAUAGCAAACUGUGACACACAACAAGAAAAUAUAUAAUAAACAGACAGAUGCUUAGAUGACCCAGAUGUUGAAAUAAUCAGAUAAGAACUUUAAAGGAGCUAUUACAAAUAUGUUCAAGGACUUACUGUAAAUAUGAUAUAU